UGCUUUGCGCAGUGGCCGUAUCGUAGCCAGUGAGGUUUAUCCAAGGUGUGAUUAUUGGUAAUUGAAAACUUUUCCCAACACCCUUCCAUGACGACUUUAAAUACAGUCAGCAUUGGCAACUUUUGACAGUCUCUAUGGAGA
ensembl:snRNA U4 U4 spliceosomal RNA